rnacentral:misc_RNA from 1 species
GGAAUUUGUCAUGGCUGCUUCUGAGCUCCGUCCUGACUCUAGUGUUAACCGUGCAAUCAUUGAAAAGCUUUCAGUUAUUGCUCCAUCAGCAGAGAUAAGGCUUAAGGUUUUGAAGGAAAUUGCGCAAGAAUAUAACUUGGAGUGGGAUUCUUCCAACACAGAAGCUGAGCUUGGUAAAAAGCAUGCAGAUCUGCUGGCUGGAUCAAAGCAAAUCGUAGCUGAAGCUGCACUUUCUCANACUUUCUCAAUCUCCCAUGAAACUGAGUUCUCCUAAACCUUCAUCUUCCAAUGGGGCAAGCCCUAUUGCGAAUACAGAUAGCAAGCAAGGAUCUCUUUAUCUUCAGCCUCCUAGACCCAUGAGUAACAUGCUGGUGGUGGAUGCUAAUGAAAUUGAACCAACAUUCAGAAACCAUUCUGCAGUCUCGGUUA